AAGUAACAGUGAUCUGGCUGUGACAAAUCAUCCAUCUACCUCCAGGGCUGAUUUGGNUGUGGCUGGCUAGGUAGGUGUCACCUUCCUCCUUCACAGCUAAAGGUGAGUCCCUCCUAAAGAACAAGGUCCUAGAGAGAGGACUGUUCUUCAGUCAAGGGUAUCACAUGCUGCCUGCUAGGACCUACAAACAAGCUUCAAGGAUAGACAAAUGUCAACUGAGCAAAGCAGCAGGUGCCAUCAUCUUCAUCACCUUCAAACCGGAGGCCACUUU
rnacentral:snRNA from 1 species